GAAGCUCAAAUUUGAAAGCUGGCUCCUUCGGGGUCCGCAUUGUAAUUUGCAGAGGAUGCUUCGGGAGCAGCCCCCAUCUAAGUGCCCUGGAACGGGCCGUCAUAGAGGGUGAAAAUCCCGUAUGGGAUGGGGUGUCUGCGCCCAUGUGAAGCUCCUUCGACGAGUCGAGUUGUUUGGGAAUGCAGCUCUAAAUGGGUGGUAAAUUUCAUCUAAAGCUAAAUAUUGGCCGGAGACCGAUAGCGCACAAGUAGAGUGAUCGAAAGAUGAAAAGCACUUUGAAAAGAGAGUUAAAAAGCACGUGAAAUUGUUGAAAGGGAAGCGCUUGCGAUCAGACUCGCCUUGGGGGUUCAGCCGGCAUUCGUGCCGGUGUACUUCCCCCAGGGCGGGCCAGCGUCGGUUUGGGUGGCCGGUCAAAGGCCCUUGGAAUGUAACGCCUCUCGGGGCGUCUUAUAGCCAAGGGUGCCAUGCGGCCUACCUGGACCGAGGAACGCGCUUCGGCUCGGACGCUGGCAUAAUGGUCGUAAGCGACCCGUCUUGAAACACGGACCAAGGAGUCUAACAUCUACGCGAGUGUUCGGGUGUCAAACCCGUGCGCGCAGUGAAAGCGAACGGAGGUGGGAACCCUUUGGGUGCACCAUCGACCGAUCCUGAUGUCUUCGGAUGGAUUUGAGUAAGAGCGUAGCUGUUGGGACCCGAAAGAUGGUGAACUAUGCCUGAAUAGGGCGAAGCCAGAGGAAACUCUGGUGGAGGCUCGCAGCGGUUCUGACGUGCAAAUCGAUCGUCGAAUUUGGGUAUAGGGCGAAAGACUAAUCGAA
rnacentral:rRNA from 1 species